CGUAACAAGGUCUCCGUUGGUGAACCAGCGGAGGGAUCAUUACCGAGUUUACAACUCCCAAACCCCUGUGAACAUACCACUUGUUGCCUCGGCGGAUCAGCCCGCUCCCGGUAAAACGGGACGGCCCGCCAGAGGACCCCUAAACUCUGUUUCUAUAUGUAACUUCUGAGUAAAACCAUAAAUAAAUCAAAACUUUCAACAACGGAUCUCUUGGUUCUGGCAUCGAUGAAGAACGCAGCAAAAUGCGAUAAGUAAUGUGAAUUGCAGAAUUCAGUGAAUCAUCGAAUCUUUGAACGCACAUUGCGCCCGCCAGUAUUCUGGCGGGCAUGCCUGUUCGAGCGUCAUUUCAACCCUCAAGCACAGCUUGGUGUUGGGACUCGCGUUAAUUCGCGUUCCUCAAAUUGAUUGGCGGUCACGUCGAGCUUCCAUAGCGUAGUAGUAAAACCCUCGUUACUGGUAAUCGUCGCGGCCACGCCGUUAAACCCCCAACUUCUGAAUGUUGACCUCGGAUCAGGUAGGAAUACCCGCUGAACUUAAGCAUAUCAAUAAGCGGAGGAAAAGAAACCAACAGGGAUUGCCCUAGUAACGGCGAGUGAAGCGGCAACAGCUCAAAUUUGAAAUCUGGCUCUCGGGCCCGAGUUGUAAUUUGUAGAGGAUACUUUUGAUGCGGUGCCUUCCGAGUUCCCUGGAACGGGACGCCAUAGAGGGUGAGAGCCCCGUCUGGUUGGAUGCCAAAUCUCUGUAAAGUUCCUUCAACGAGUCGAGUAGUUUGGGAAUGCUGCUCUAAAUGGGAGGUAUAUGUCUUCUAAAGCUAAAUACCGGCCAGAGACCGAUAGCGCACAAGUAGAGUGAUCGAAAGAUGAAAAGCACUUUGAAAAGAGAGUUAAAAAGUACGUGAAAUUGUUGAAAGGGAAGCGUUUAUGACCAGACUUGGGCUUGGUUAAUCAUCUGGGGUUCUCCCCAGUGCACUUUUCCAGUCCAGGCCAGCAUCAGUUUUCCCCGGGGGAUAAAGGCGGCGGGAAUGUGGCUCUCUUCGGGGAGUGUUAUAGCCCACCGUGUAAUACCCUGGGGGGGACUGAGGUUCGCGCAUCUGCAAGGAUGCUGGCGUAAUGGUCAUCAACGACCCGUCUUGAAACACGGACCAAGGAGUCGUCUUCGUAUGCGAGUGUUCGGGUGUCAAACCCCUACGCGUAAUGAAAGUGAACGCAGGUGAGAGCUUCGGCGCAUCAUCGACCGAUCCUGAUGUUCUCGGAUGGAUUUGAGUAAGAGCAUACGGGGCCGGACCCGAAAGAAGGUGAACUAUGCCUGUAUAGGGUGAAGCCAGAGGAAACUCUGGUGGAGGCUCGCAGCGGUUCUGACGUGCAAAUCGAUCGUCAAAUAUGGGCAUGGGGGCGAAAGACUAAUCGA
rnacentral:sRNA from 1 species